ensembl:lncRNA
UUCAAAUUCCAGAGCAUGCUUUUUUUAAACAGCCCUGAAUAGCUGACUUCCUGUUGGGCGGAGCCUAUGAUAUAGAGCGCGAAAGUUGUUCAGCUCAAUGAGAUCUAUAAGUGUACUGAGUUUCAUAUAAAUACAUGCAAGUAUGUGUGAGCUAUGGUUCAAGAUAUAUGACUGUGUUCCAGGGGGCGCCGUAGAGCCCCUGUGCCACGCCCGGGUCCCAGCCUCUGCGGCGUCCUGAUGGCCGCAGGUUCCAAUGUGUGUGCCAAUUUUCAAGAGUUUUUGAGUAUGUUAAGGCCUCCAAAAACCCCCGGAAGGUUUAAAAAAAAAUAAAAAAAAUAAUAAUAAUAAUAAUAAGAAUAAUCCUUAGAAAAACAAUAGGGCUCUUCGCCCCUUCGGGCUUGAGCCCUAAUAAGAAUAAUCCUUAGAAAAACAAUAGGGCCCUGCGCCCAUUGGCUCGGGCCCUAAUAA